rnacentral:ncRNA from 1 species
GGGCCAUUUUGCCCCCAAGGGCACGUGUCGUUGGCUAAGCCGUCGUGGCGGAAGGGUCACGGUGGCCGCCUUGAAUUACAAUUCCGAUCGAGCGGCGAGCUGAAUCCUUUGCAGACGACUUAAAUACGCGACGGGGUAUUGUAAGGGGUAGAGUGGCCUUGCUGCCACGAUCCUCUGAGAUUCAGCCCUUUGUCGCUCCGAUUCGU